GUAAAAAGGAAGAUCAAGAAUAUCCUUUAAAAUAUUUUCUAAAGAUUUAUUUAGCUUUUGUUUCAUGUAUAUGCAUGUUUGCCUGAAUAUAUGCAAGUGUACUACAUGUUUGUAGGGAACUGAGUGGGCCAGAAAAAGCUGACAGAUCCCUGAGAUCUGGGGUUCUAGACAUCUGUGAACAGCUCAUGUGAGUGUUAGAAGCUGAACCAAAACUUUGCAUUGGUGGCAGGUACUUAGAACCACUGACUGAAUUCUUCAGCUCCACCUCCUGUAGAAGCUACGACUCUUCUGCACUCUGUUAUUCUAUUUGCUUCUGCUGUAACUAUAUAAAUAUUUCUGCUAGUGACAGGUUAAUUUUGGGAAAAAUACUGUUUAAUUUUUUUGUUAGAGAUAAGCUCAUUAUUCCUUCUAUAUGUAUUUUUAAACUUUCCGUGAACGUGUAAAAUCAAUACUAAUGAUAUAUUCUUCCAGAAGACUAUCUCCAAACAGGUCAAGCCCUUUAAAGAAAUGAUAUUUUACCAAAAAUCUUGAUAUAUUAUGACAUGUAGGACAAACCUCAUCAUGUGUGUAAUUUACCAAAUAGGUUUAAAGGCAUUUCAGGAAAAUAUGCAAGCCAUGGUUGGCUUUAAUAAUGGAGUUAUCCAAGCACUUGAUAGUCUGUUAGGGAAAUAUCUCAUAUGAAAGCAACAAGAUCAAUAUCCACAUGAUGCUACAAACAUACGACCAACUUAGGAAGUAACCAGGCCAGUGCUUAGACUAUGCCUGAGAAUACAUGAGAAAUGCCUCAGAUUACUACUUCUAACAAGAUCAAAUAAACCAUUUUCUAAAAUGAUGUAUUUUCUUGUAGAGAUGGAUGCUUUCUACUAUUUUAUAAGAAGACAGCAGAGAACCAAUCAAGAUGGAGAAGAGACAUGGAUGACAAACAGGUUUUUUCCACAUUUUGCUGAAACCACCAUCUGCAUACUCUCAACUGCAGAUUUACCAGAUUGCCUAUUGUUCUUUAAUUACUAGAUAAGAAGGGAUUGAUAACUACCUUAAAUGUCAUCAGAGAGCCUUAAUCCAGUAGCUGAUGGAAGCCAGAAGCAGAGAUUCACAGGUAAAUACUGGGCCAAAUUCCUGGAGUCCAGGUGUAGAGAAGGAG
rnacentral:lncRNA from 1 species